UGUUAAACAUUUCAUCCCUUUAUACUAUUAGCAACUAGCGCUACUGACAGAAUAAUCAGAGAAUUACGCUUGGCUUGGCUUGCCUUGCCUUGCCUAGUGUGCCUAAUGCUGACGUACAGGAUCGGACUUUUAGCAGUAGAAAUAGAUGAAGUUUUUAACA
rnacentral:pre_miRNA from 1 species